rnacentral:rRNA from 1 species
UACAGAGGGUGCUAGCGUUGUUCGGAAUCAUUGGGCGUAAAGGGCGUGUAGGCGGUUUGUUAAGUCAUGUGUGAAAUCCCUCGGCUCAACCGGGGAACGACGCAUGAAACUGGCAAGCUAGAGUACCAAAGAGGGGGGUGGAAUUCCCGGUGUAGCGGUGAAAUGCGUAGAGAUCGGGAGGAACAUCAGUUGCGAAGGCGGCUCUCUGGACCAGCACUGACACUGAGGCACGAAAGCGUGGGGAGCAAACAGG